AUGCCACCGGCGGAGGGCGCGGAGGGGCUGGGGGUCUCGGAGUUCGCGCUGCCGGACGGCGUCCUGGCGGUGCUGCCGCGGGACCCCUACGAGCAGCUGGAUCUGGCGCGCCGCAUCACCGCGCUGGCCGUCGCCGGCCGGGUGACCGGGCUCGAGCGGGAGGGCGCCGCCGAGCGGGACCGGGAGAACGCCGAGCUGCGGGACCGCGUCGCGCUGCUCGACCGCGCGCUCCAGGAGACCAACGCCAGGCUCCAGGCCAGGACAAUAUUGCAGAUUCAGCUGAGCAAGGAGCGGGACUCGCUGGCGCAGACCUCCAAGAAGCAGGCGCGCGACCUGCACAAGCUGGAGUCGUUCAAGAGGCAUCUGAUGCAGUCACUCCGUGAUGAUAGUACAUCGCCGCAAGAAACGGUUGACAUUACAACAUGUGAUCAGUCAGUAUCAUCCAAAACAUCGUCCUGUGGAGACGGAUCUAUCAGCCACACUGCAGCAAAUUUGUUGAAUGGGUCUGGGGAUCUUGGAAGCACGACAAGAGAAGUGGCAAGGCCUCCACUCCAAAAGUAUGCCCUCUCCCCACACAUCAACCAACGCCUUACGCCAGAAGCCACACCAAAUAUAAUGUCCACCUCUGCUUCUCCAAGAGGAAUGUCUACCACAGCAACACCAAAGUUGGUAUCUGGAGCUACCUCGCCUUCAAGAACUCGAAUUGAAGGACACAUGUCAAUGACACCAUGGUAUUCAAGCAAGCAGUCGUCUGCAGCUAACUCACCUCCAAGGGGACGUCCUAACCCAGGUCGCACUCCUCGUAUUGAUGGAAAAGAAUUUUUCCGUCAGGCCAGGAGCCGUCUAUCAUGCGAACAGUUUGGAGCGUUCUUAGCGAACAUCAAAGAGCUGAAUGCUCAUAAGCAGUCACGAGAGGAAACCCUCAAGAAGGCCGAAGAGAUAUUCGGUCCAGACAGCAAAGAUCUAUACCUCUCUUUCCAAGGCUUACUAAACCGCAGCUUGCCGUAG
rnacentral:rRNA from 1 species